rnacentral:rRNA from 1 species
CCCUUAGAUGUUCUGGGCCGCACGCGCGCUACACUGAUGCAUUCAACGAGUUUCUUCCUGGUCCGAGAGGAAUGGGUAACCUUUUGAAAGUGCAUCGUGAUAGGGAUAGACUAUUGCAAUUAUUGGUCUUCAACGAGGAAUUCCUAGUAGACGUAGUUCAUCAGACUGCAUCGAUUACGUCCCUGCCCUUUGUGCGCACCGCCCGUCGCUCCUACCGAUUGAAUGCUCAGGUGAGCCAUUCGGACUUUCAUCAUGCUGGUUUCCAGUUUUGAUGAAGGAAAGUCUUGCGAACCUUAUCAUUUAGAGGAAGGAGAAGUCGUAACA